GUCAUCCGCUGGCGGGCAGGGGUCGGGCGGGGGUGGGGGGAGGCCUGGAAGGAGAUGUCCCUCGUGUGAACCAGCAGAAAAGCCAGCGCCAGAGAUGCAGGGAGAAGGCCCUGUGCCCGCCUGAGGUCUGUGAUGUCUCCGAUUCAGGUUUCUCUUCUGGCCAAGCCUAACCCGGAACCACGGAUGGAAGGGCGCUCCGAGACACAAGGCCCUGCCUCAGCUACGUUGUCACAAGAUGCAGCCAUCGCGGGCGCAGAGGGACGUCUUUGUCCAUCAGAUGGCGGCCCUGCCCCGCGUGUGGCCCUCAGUGGGGUCCAGUGACUUCACGAGCCUCGAGCUCCCUCCUGGGGCACCGGGCUCUGCGAUGUCUGCUCCCUGACCUCAGCCAGGACCCCCUCGCCCGUCCCGGCUGCACUGCUCCUCCUCGAGCUCCUCAGGCCUCCACGGGGCACCCUGGCCCUUGGACUUCAGUGCCCUCGGCCUGGGGUCCCCGUUCCAGGCCUCGGCCUCCACGGCCCUGCCUCCCUCUGGAACAUUUCCCUCCUUUUCUGGUGCGUCUCCCUCACGAGGACGUCCCCUCCUCGAGGCCCCUCAGCAGGCAUCCUGGCUCGGAGCAGGCAUUCUGCCCGCGGUAACCCUCUGCCUGCAGGAGCCUCCGAGUUGGAAGAGACGGGCCUUCGGGAGGAUGCUGGCGGGAGGUGCGCCCGUCCUGCAACAGGAGGACGAGGCCGACCCAGACGUUUGCAGGUCCUUCUAGUUGUGGCAUGUGGGACACCGCCUCAACAUGGCCUGAUGAGCGGUGCCGUGUCCGCGCCCAGGAUCCGAACCGGCGAAACCCUGGGCCGCUGAAGUGGAGUGCCUGGACUUAACCACUUGAAAAUUAAAACCCUCCCUGAGGACGCCGAAGGCCUCCUGGAGCCAUCACCCAUGCCAGCCCCCUCCCCAGAAGGAACUGCCAUCAUCCAGGUCCCCAUGUGCAUGCAUCUCCUGCCCCCCAACUCCUUCCCCCCCAUCCGCCCCCACCCCCCAGCCCAGACCGUGAAGAGCAUCUUCAGUCGUCAUGGUGACAGAUACUGCUGGCUGCCCACCCAAUGGUCAUCACCUCCCCUCCCCUCACCUUGCCUUGGCUAAUAGAUCCCCAGUUUGGUUUCGGGUGGUGACGUGGCCCAUCCUGGGGCACUGAUCAUAAUUGCCCAAGCCAAUUGAUCUGUCCCAUCCCUCUUGUCAGUUACACGCUUGUUUGGCUAUGUGACACCCCCCACCCACCCGCCACCUCCCUGCUCCAGCCAAGACUGCUUGGAGGAUUUCUGAAGAAAGUCAGUCAAUUAUCUCCUGCCACAGGAAUGCUGUGUAAGACGCAACCACCGAACCUUGGUGGAGGAUAAGAGUGAGCGUUUCCUGCUCGUGCCCCUGGAGUGAGCCGGGGGGCGGGCUCGGCGGCUCUGCGGGUCUUGGCGGGGCUCGCUCGCAGGUCUGGCGAGUGGAGGUGUUGAGUGAGGGAGGCUGGGCCUGGGCCGCUAGAGCAGCUCGACGGCUCCACGCGCCUCUCUCGCCCGCCUGCAAGCCAGCCCAGCCUCACAAGCCCAACUCAAGCUUCUGCUGGUGUCACGUCUCCUGAUGCCCCACCGGCCAGGGCUGAGCCCAGAGCCAGAGUAGGAGGGCGCCACCAAGUUUCAAGGCCUAGGCAUGGAUCCAGGGAAAAGAGGAGAACAGGGCAGUGUUUGGAAUCUACCAGAUAAACUCUUUCUGGAUAAAAAUAUUGAGA
rnacentral:lncRNA from 1 species